GUCUUGUAAGAACUCUGGUUGAUCUGAACUCUUUUUAUGUUUCACCAAAAUUUGUUGUAAUUGUGGGUCAUAGAUACAAGUUGCUGUUGCCUUCUUUUUCGCCAAAGAUUAGCCACAGAAUAAGUGUCGACACACAAACAUUUGUCUUUUAGAGCAAAGAACUUUGAAUAGUAUGAGUGGACCCAGAUUGAAGGUAGGGGAUAUUCCCUGCUGCUCUGUGUGAGACAUUCUUUGUGGAAGAUGAGAUGAUGAUUCUAUGUGGAAAUAAUGUGGUUUGUGUGAUUUUUAUUUGGCUUUAUAAUACCUGGUGACAAAAUGUAAGCUGCAAAGAGAUGGAACUGGAAUUAUUUUGAU
rnacentral:misc_RNA from 1 species